GUGACUCUUGGCAACAGCGGAGCAACGGCUGAGCAACGGUGAGGGCGCUAGCAGCACGGCAGGUGACUCUUGGCAACAGCGGAGCAACGGUGGGAGCGCUAGCAGCGCGGCGGGUGAUUCUCAACAACUGCUGAGCAACGAUCUUCGGCAGCGGGUGACUUCUAACAGCAACGGGUUGUUCGUACUGGCAC